AACCACCAGAAUAGAUCCCAAAGACAGACCGAUUCAACAUUCAGACGGUUCCGUUCUUCCGAGGCGAGCAGAGGUUUCUUUUCGCUUGUUGCUUUUGCUUGACAGAAACGUGCGCGUGGUAUAUCUUAACAUAAAUAAAUAGAUAUCGAAGUACUCGUGUCAAGUAAAUAAACAUUUACUUUUGAUUCUUCUGCAAAAGUUACAAGGAAUAGCGGAAUUAGCAAUAUAAUUUUGCGAACAGUUUGUUUUAUUUUUAAAAGUGAAUAAUAAUUUUUAAGUGCGGUGAUUUAUUGAAACUGUUGUGAAGAUACUGAUACACAUAAUUGUUUUAAAAUUUAAGUGAAAGGGGUAUCAAUACCUUUGAUACUUAUAAAACUUUAAUGCAUUGACAAUCAUUAUCAAUACACGGUAAUAAAACUGCAACUUUUUUUUUAUUCAUAGAGUCGAGUGACAUGUUCGCGGGGCCAGUGUCUAUUGUUUGCACACCCGGAGUGUACAGGAGUGAGCAAGUCGUGAUCGUGAUCUCGUGUUGACGGUAUUAAGACAUGUGUUAUUGCUAAUAUUAAUUAUUAACUUUGAUAAUUAUAAAGCCUUUUAAAAAUCUAUUUUAUGAGUUAACGCUUGUUGUAUGUUUAAUACCGGGAACUUUUUUUUGGAGUAUAGUCAUAAAUAAUAGAGACUUGCCAGCGUAGGCCUAAAUUAUUUUAUCGGGAUUUUUUUGUAACACGUGUGUUAAUAAUAAAAAUCCGGCAAACUGUACGGACACAGAGAAGAGGAUAUGUUGACCAUGGAGGCGGAUUUAAAAGGCGGCAGCCUGCAUGGCCAAAUGCCGCCGCAUCCACACCAAGGAGUAUCACCGAUGAGUCAUCACACCAGCGUGUCACCUUACGGUCCCCUCGGGUCCAUAGUUCAUAGCCCGGCUCUCUCCUCCGGUAGUCCUCCCAAUUCCGGUACACUGGGUGCCAUGAGUUUGCAGCACCACCAUCAUCAGCAUUUUGCAUCAAUGCAAGCCAUUCAACAACAGCAACAGCAGCAGCAGCAGACGAUGCACUCGCUUGCUCAGCAACACUCGCACCAGCAGUCCCAGCAGCAAUCAGCCCAGCCUAACUCCCAGCAGGCCCAACACCAGUCUACGAAUAACAACAACAGCAACAGUAAAAACAACAAUGUUGACCGCGUGAAGCGACCGAUGAACGCUUUCAUGGUGUGGUCCCGCGGUCAGCGCCGCAAGAUGGCCCAGGAGAACCCGAAAAUGCACAACUCCGAGAUAUCAAAACGAUUGGGAGCCGAAUGGAAGAUGCUAAGUGAAGCUGACAAGCGACCAUUCAUUGACGAAGCCAAGAGAUUGAGAGCCGUGCAUAUGAAGGAGCACCCAGAUUACAAAUACCGACCACGGAGGAAGACAAAGACCCUUUUGAAAAAGGACAAAUUCCCACUUGGUAGUGGUGUCCCUGUUGGCAGCAUGCUCAGUGUUGAUCAGAGACAAGUUAAUCCGUCUAACGCACCUCAGCAGUCCCAAUUAUCUCGUGAUCUCUACCAAAUUCCCGGCGGAUACGUAACCAACGGGUACAUGAUGCACGAUCCGACGGGCGCUUAUCAACAGCACCCAGGGUACGGUGGUCCCUUGGCCGGGUACCCACGCUACGACAUGUCACACAUGGGCGGCGGCAACUCAAGCCCCCUCAACAGCUACGUCAACGGAUAUGGCAGCUACGGAGCCAGCACAAUACCUGCAGGUUCACCCUCACCUUAUCACUCAGCCCAACCGGGCUCCCAGAUGUCCAGCCACAGUCCUAGUGGCAGUAGUAUCAAGUCCGAACCUACGAGUCCCGCGAGUGGCGGAAUCCACACUCCAACGCCGAUCGUAAGCUCGUCCUCGUCGGCCUCCAACGUCAAAAGGGAGUACAUGGGCCAGCAGCCGAGUCAACAGCCCCAGGGCGACAUCAGACAGAUGAUCAAUAUGUAUCUGCCUCACAACGGCGACCAGGGGAUCCCUCAGCACAACUCCGGCGUCGUCUAUUCUCCCGGACCUGGACCAUCACCCGAUCCUCUGGUUCAACAUCACCCAGGCAUGCCAGUGUCGUCACUCAACCACCACCACAUGUCGGAGAGUGAUCGGAAAAUGUUAAAUCCCGAGACUGGCUGCUAUUCGGACUCCGUUCGAGCGUGGGACUGGAACGCGUCAGGCAAUGGUCGCGUUCAAGAGUCUUGGCCCACGUGAGCGAUUCACGCGCAGCCCGAAUCCCUAAGGCAACGACGCCGGUGGAUCGCAACCCCUGACUGUCGCGUGCAUCACGGUAUGAGUACACCGAGAAAUGUAUCCGGCAGUAUCCUCAGUCAAGAUCAUCGACACCCUGAACCAAUAACUCGUGUGAAAAUAAUGAAUUUUACACGAGUAGGCAAUAAGAUUAUCACAAUCAUGAUCAUAAAAAAAUACUGCCUACGCAUUAUUAUUGACACUGCACCACGUCGUUCAUCUUCAUUUCUAUCUUGUUUAUUAUUAUUAUUAUUAUUAUUAUUAUUAUUAAUUAACUUACUAUUAAUUACGUGGUCCAUUGAUUUAAUGUACCAUAUAAUAAUUGCGGAAAAUGAUACCACGUUUAACUGUAAAAAUAAAAUCUGUAAGCUGCGAUCUGAAUACAAAAAAGUAAAAACGAUUUGAACCAUCGUUUUAUAAAAAAACUAAAUAAAUAUAAUUAUUACUGUCACUGUAUCAUAUAAAUAAUUGAUAAAACAUUCGUUGAUAUUUCCAAUCGUUAAAUUUCGUAGGAUUUUGAAUUAUUAUUAUUAUAUAAAUAUAUAAAUAUUAUAAAUAAUUAUAAAUAUAUAAAAUAAGAGUGAGCGGAUAUAUGUAAUGUGAUAAAAAGUGUGACAAAUGUGUAAAUGAAAUGAAGUAAAUAAAUAAAUAAAAUAAUUAAGACGCGCUGUAUGACUUCCGGAUUUAAUAUGACUUUUGAGUUUAAGUUAAAUUUUAUUUUGGGAUGCACUUGACAUCCAAAUGAUUAAAUUUUUCUAAAAUAAAAGGGAAAUAAAGAUGAAUAAUAAUGAGGAAUAUAAAUAAAUAAAGAAAGAGUGUUUGAUAUCGGCUCGUUAAUUAUUCGAGGAGGAAGAUGUACGCUUCUGGAAUACGCGUCGCGUGCUUUUACGUGAGUAGCGCAUGAUGGCUAUCGUCUGCACGAGCAUCAGGAGGAACCACGACGACGCAGCGUGGGGCGCUCAUUCAGGAACACCCACGUGUGCCCAACGGGAUAUCUACUCAGAUAUAUAUACAUAUAUGUAUGAGAAAAACAAGAGCUAACCCAAAAAUUAUAAUUGUUAUUAUUAUUUUGAACCAUCGACCGAAAUAUGUUUAUAAUAUUAAAUUUAAACAGAAGCUUUAUUUAAGACAAUUCAUUAAAUUUCUGUACGGUAAAAAAAAAUUAAUAUAGCGGAGGGUCGGGUAAAAUGAAGUACCUCAAUUUUUUUCAAUAUUAAGAUAAUCUGUCAUUUAUUACACUGUAAAAAAUUCGCGGAUUAAAUGCGGAGUAAACGUGGAGUGCAUGAAUUUUUAAUUAUUUACUCCCUAGUGAAAUUCACUCCGAAGGGGAGUUUUAAAAAUAUUAAUAAAAAAUAACUCCACUGAAUAAAAUCGAAGUAAAAACUCGCGUAGGACACUACUGAUACAGCUGAUACGCACACCAACACAUAUGCAGACAUACGCGCAUACAUACUCGCACACACACGCACACUGUUUAACUGUAGUGAUCGAGAAAGUAAAAAUAUUUUAAUGUUCAAACUCCGACUCGGGGUGAAUUGGGAAUGAAAUAAAAUCCGCGUCACUCCGAAAUCACUCCGAUAAAAAAAAACUCCCGAUUCACUGCGCAUGCGGUGUGAUUUUUUUUAGAACUCUGGAACUCCGAGUGGCGGAGUGAAUUCGGAUUGAAAUUAAACCCGGAUUCACUCCAAAUUCACUCCCGAUUUUUUACAGUGUAUUUUUUUAUCAUUAAUUUUUAAUCAAAGAUAUGAUUUUAGAGAAAACUUUUUUUCGUUUUAUUCAAAAAUUACUUAUAAAAUAGAACUCUAAAAAAUUUGCGGAGUGAAUGCGCAGAGGAUGUUUAUUUAUUUAAUCCCCUUGGAGUGAAAUUCACUCCGAAGGGAAGUGUAUUUUAAUAUCAAAACUCCGAAUCAGAGUGAAUGCGGAUUUAAAUAAAAUUCAGGCCACUCCGAAAUCACUCCCUGAAAAAAACUCCCUAUUAAUUCCAUAAGCGAAGUGAUUUUUUUUUAAACUCCGAAAUUCUGAGUGAAUUCAGAUUUAAAUAAAAUCCGUAAUCAUUACGAAUUCACUCCCGACUUUUUACAGUAAAAUAUUUUAAGUUUAAAUAAAAUUUUUUUUUUUUAGCCUACCCCAUUUCGCCCGAAAUAAAAAAAAAUUACUGGCAAUUAAACCCGCCCCUUAUGUAAAAAAUAUGAAAUUUAUUUAAAUACUGAGUCUGUGCGUCGAUUAUACAGAUUGUACAUUAAAUUGUAAAUAUAAAACCACAGUUAAAAAACAAAAAUAAACAAUAAAAGUAAUAAUAACAAUGAUUUGUUGUAAUAAAUAAAUGGAAGUAAUGGAGCACGUCUUAGUAGGAACUCUGUAAUAUGAGCACUUGUUCAAUUGUACGCGAGAAUGCAAUAAUUGUCGAAGAAUAAACGAUAAAUGUAGUUACUAAUAUAAUAACAACUCCUUUAUUUAUUUCCUUAAUAAAAAUAAUACCGUUAUUAAUUUAAUAAUAUUUUUUAAAAA